rnacentral:piRNA from 1 species
UGAUGAUGUACAUGUGCACUUCACUCAGGA